ACCACCCGGGAUGACAACAGCCGCCCUGAGGUCCGAGGGCGGGCGAGAACUGCUCUGAGUCUGCUGGAAAGCGCCUGCCCCAACUCUGCAGAUGGAGCCCGCCUGGAAACCAAGUGACGGAAAAGGGGGUUCCGCCCGCCGGCCCGCUCCACCCCUGACGUCCGCCUCGCCCUCCGAUUGGUUGCUCCUUGCACGUGACCCGCUGGCCGCCGCGGGAUUGGUUGUCUGGCAAAGGCCGCACUGGGUGGUGGGAUGCCGGCGGGGCCUGGAGGCGGAGGCCGGUGGGAAGAGGGGAGCUGUGACCGUAGAGGGAGGGCUGGAAGGCCGGCAGACGGCUCCGUGAGCCUUCCCUGGCUGGGCAGGCCUCCUGAGAGGGCGUAGGGGUUUCAGGAUUUUCCAGAUAGGGCUCAGGACUCCUGCCUGGGUCUUUGGUGUGAGCCCUGGCUCCGGCCUUACGCGUGUUUCCCCGCGAGGACGGCUUUUCUGUCUUCCUUGAAGUUGGUGAGGUUUGGACCAUAUUGUUUAUGUUUGACGGUCCCCUAGGUGUAAGCCUUGGUUGUCCUGCGCAGGACGCCGUGCAGAGCGCCUUGAGGUAGAAGCCGGGGCGGGGGAGUUUGGAGAUGCUUGAGAUGUGGUCCUUACCUACGUGAAACGUUGGAGGUUGAGGUGAAAAAUCUGGCUUUGAUACCUUCAUGGAGUACUACGUUAUUUCAAUCCUGAAUCUGGUUCAGUUCUCUUAUUGACUUACUAUAUUAAAAAUUGUAUUAAAAAUGUU